UAAUCUGGGAUAUUUCUGUAGAGGAAUACUUAUUUUGACUAGCCACUUCAUUGAUCAGAUUAGUGCAGACAGACAGCAUUACAUUACUAGGAAUUUCAUCUGAAUCAACAUUAGACAGGGCAUAUUGAACAAGUUCGAGUAAUUCCAAACGCUUGUCUGGUGGCUGCUGGACCCAUAUUUCUAACAAGUUAGGCAGGAACAUUGCUAAUUGUGAUUUUGUCAGUCUCUCGCAAAAUAUACGAAGAUGUUUUGCAUUUGUUAAAUUCCUUAACAGCGAUUUGGUACCACAGACUGAUAUAAUACGAAGCAAGAUAUCCUGAACUUUAGAACGUAAAGUUGUGUUCUCCUGUAAGUGCAAAAGACUUGGUACACAAGAUUCACAUAUGCGAAUUAUAUCAUCGUUUUGAAUGUAGACUAAUACUUGAAGAACGUCCAAUGCAUUUUCAAAUGGGGAUAAAUCGAUGACUUUCGGUGCUUCGAGUAUUUGGAGCUUUUUAAGAAGAAAAGAGGUAACAAUAUCACAAUGUGUAUUUGUUACAGCAAUUAUGAGUUGUGACGCUAAUCGAGGUUGAGUGCUGAAAAGGCUCCAAACCUGAGGAAGAAUACACGAAAAAUAUUUCUGUGGUGAGAUAUCCUUUGGAACAGAUGAAAUCAGAUGAGCGGCCUGUCGUGCGCGUUCGAUUGAAUUUGGCUGUGCUUGCAUAUAAACUUUGAGAAAUCCUUGCACGCCAGUUUCUCUACAAAGACAGGUAGUUAAAUAAUGUUUCAAUUUAUCUUGCAACCAGUUAUCUACAUUCGGUUGUAAUAGCGAUAAACAAGAAGAAAUCAUUUUAGAUGGAUCAACCAUUUGUGGAGACAUUAUGCUCGUUACUUUUUCUUUCCAUGAAGGGUCUAAAAAUAAAGGCCUGGGUUCUUCAAUGAGAGAACCUUGUUCAUGGCAGUUCAACAAAUAUAAAUGAAGCAACAAUAAGUCGGCAUAGUGAAGGUUAAGUGGACCUUGUAAUAAACU